GGCUAUGGCUGUAUGCUGUCUUUUCAUUUCAAUGUACAUGAUAUUAGCAUCAAGUAGAAGGUGUAGAACUUUAUGUCUGUCUCUGGUAUUAAAGAGAUAGUUUAGUGCUAUUGAAUCAAUCACUAGUCGGAGAAAUCCACUGUUUGUGCAUGCUUGCCUGUUUUGUUCAUAUCCCUUUAAAUGAAACUCAUCUCCUCUUCAUACAGGUGACUUUUAUCUUUUUCAUCUGCAAUGCCAUGUGGCUGGUGGCAACGUUCACUCUUCAGGCCAUUGGAUCCUCAGUCACCAUCAGAAUCCCAAAAUCCAAUCUCAAUCUGACUCAGACUAGGGAGUAUCUAUUUAUCGAUCCAAUAGGACUGAUGUUCCUUUUGGGAUUUGCAUCCUUACUGCUGAUCCAAUUCUUUGCCAUGUUCUACCACAGAAUUUACACUCUGAUCCAUUUUGUGGCAUUUGUGAACACGGAGUCCAAGACUGAGGGAAGACAACCAGGCGAUGACAUGCAGAUUCCUGACAUGCUGGAGAAAGAGCUCAAAUACGACAAAUUCUUUGACACAUUUCUGUCUAUAGAGAAUCCAGCAGCAAUCCAGCAACAUAACCAAGAAACUCCAGUGUGAGGUCUUACUACUGACUGUCUCUUAAUGGUAGCAGUUGCAGCUAAAAUAGGAGUAGGAGUCGGAUAGGGGCACUGCAGUUUUGUGUUAGAUGUUGCACAGUUACAUAUAGUAGUAUUGAGGGAGAAUGUUCCAAGUAGUAGAGAUUAUAGAGUAUUUAUUUUAUUUAAUAUAGUUAACCUUUGUUUAACCAGGAAAAGACCUUUGAUGAACCUCUUUUGCGAGAGCAGUGUGAACAUACAAUACAAGAGCAAAGACAGGGACAAAACAUUAAAAACAAUUGCAGCGGUCAACAACAUGUAUUAUAGCAUAACGGAGUAUAACAAUUGACUGUGAGUUAAAUCUCAGGGAAAUGUGAUAUAAUGUUAUCAUAUUGCUUUCCCUUUUUUGUCAAAUGCUUUGUUAUGAAUCACUUCCGAUUAGUAUUUAGGUUAGCAGUUAUACUUUUCCCUUUUGAAUGAAGAACUUUAUCUGUUUAUUGCACUGAUUUAUGGAGAUAUUUAAUGAACUUUUAGUGGAGUUAUGUUUGCUAUGUAUUUAUUAUGUAACUGAAUAGAACAAAUACAUUUCUUUUUUUAACUAGGCUAAGUCAGUUAAGAACAAAUUCUUAUUUACAAUUUAUAUGCCCUCUACACCGAUAACAAAUUGUGCUUUGUUUCAUUCUGCUAUCUGUAUUCUAAUCAAUGCGUAAUAAAACUAUAUACAUUCUG